GACGAACGCUGGCGGCGUGCUUAACACAUGCAAGUCGAACGGUGAAGCACCUUCCUUUUGGUGGGUGUGGAUGAGUGGCGAACGGGUGAGUAACACGUGAGUAACCUGCCCCCUUCUUCUGGAUAACCGCAUGAAAGUGUGGCUAAUACGGGAUAUUCUGUGCCUGCUGCAUGGUGGGUGUGGGAAAGAUGCGCUUUUGGGUGUUUUUGGUGGGGGAUGGGCUCGCGGCCUAUCAGCUUGUUGGUGGGGUGAUGGCCUACCAAGGCGGUGACGGGUAGCCGGCCGGAGAGGGUGGACGGUCACACUGGGACUGAGACACGGCCCAGACUCCUACGGGAGGCAGCAGUGGGGAAUAUUGCACAAUGGGCGCAAGCCUGAUGCAGCGACGCCGCGUGAGGGAUGGAGGCCUUCGGGUUGUAAACCUCUUUCGCCAGUGAAGCAGGCCUGUCCCUUGUGGGUGGGUUGACGGUAGCUGGAUAAGAAGCGCCGGCUAACUACGUG
rnacentral:rRNA from 1 species